AUUCGCGGCCUAUCAGCUUGUUGGAGAGGUAACGGCUCACCAAGGCAUCGACGGGUAGCUGGUCUGAGAGGAUGAUCAGCCACACUGGGACUGAGACACGGCCCAGACUCCUACGGGAGGCAGCAGUGGGGAAUCUUGCACAAUGGACGAAAGCCUGAUGCAGCAACGCCGCGUGCGGGAUGAAGGCCCUAGGGUUGUAAACCGCUUUCAGUAGGGAAGAAAAUGACGGUACCUACAGAAGAAGGUGCGGCCAACUACGUGCCAGCAGCCGCGGUGACACGUAGGCACCAAGCGUUAUCCGGAUUUAUUGGGCGUAAAGAGCUCGUAGGCGGUUUGGUAAGUCGGGUGUGAAAACUCUGGGCUCAACCCAGAGAGGCCACCCGAUACUGCUAUGACUAGAGUACGGUAGGGGAGCGGGGAAUUCAUGGUGUAGCGGUGAAAUGCGCAGAUAUCAUGAGGAACACCAGCGGCGAAGGCGCCGCUCUGGGCCGUAACUGACGCUGAGGAGCGAAAGCAUGGGUAGCAAACAGGAUUAGAUACCCUGGUAGUCCAUGCCGUAAACGUUGGGCACUAGGUGUGGGUCUCAACCAACGAGAUCCGCGCCGUCGCUAACGCAUUAAGUGCCCCGCCUGGGGAGUACGGAAUCGUCGACCCCGCCCGGCCCCACG
rnacentral:rRNA from 1 species